UCUUUCCCUACUAACUUCUUUUUCCACCGAUUCUCAAUUCGAAGAAUUCAGAGGCGGCGUCCUUUCUCCUCUGGCGGAUUCGCCACCAUCUCGUCGGAAAUCCGGGGUCCCGUCGGUGCGUGUUUCUCCUCUCCAAAGGAACUUUACUUGCGGAGUGGUUCGGGUUGGUUUCGGGGCUGCGCGGUGUCGUUUCGGGGCUGUACGAACAACGAGCAGACCCGUGGCGACCGCAGACGGCGGUGGACGUGCCCCGACAGCAGCUCUUCCCGGCGGAUCAGCGGCAGAAUCUCUCCACCGCGACGGCGAUUUCACAGCAGCGACGGCGACGCACGGCUAGGUCCGUUGCUAUCUAAAUCGGAGGACGAACAGGCUGACCGCCGGCGAGCCACGACGAAUUCUUGAAUUGGGCGUUUGGAAAAAUCGAAUGGAUUGUUGUAAUCUGAGAUAGAGUCGAAGGAGUAUUGGAGAUGGCGGCGGUGGCUGGCGGAAUCGGAGCAGGCGACGCCGGAUUGAGAAUUUCUUCAAUUUUGUCGAGAGAGAGAGAGAGACGAGGGAGGAAGGAUUUCUCAAUUUGGGGAAGUUGGGAGAAAGGAGAAAAGAGAAAAUAGGGAGGAGAAGAUACCGAUAGUGGAGAAUAGAGUAUUGUUUGGUGGGCCAUUUUUCUUGGGCCUUCUUAUUUUAUUUAGAGGAAAUUGAUUUUGGCCUAUAUCCAGACAUCCCAAAGUUAGAAAGGUUGUAGCAAAGUUUGUCAUUGUAGCUUGUAAAGCCGACGGAAACUUCAUGCUAUUUACAUAGCAUCCCCACAUUAUGACAUUGAAAAGCACGACUAGUGCAUGUUUCAACUA